ensembl:lncRNA
AAAAAACCAGUGCAGUCAUGUUGUGGACUGGGUAAUAUGGAACAGUUACACUUUGUGUAAAACACACAUUUCAGAAGCUCAGGCCAAUGAAAGCAUCAGAAGACACAAAUAGAGUCCAAUCAAAUAUAUAUUUUAUUUAUUCCAAAUGAACCCAUGAGUGUCUUGAUUUAGUGAGACUACAUAGGAUAGACAAUAUAAUAAAGCUAAACAAAAGCUAAUAAGAUUAUGUCAAGCAGUAGAUGUUAAUUCACAUCUACUUAGUCGAAUGCCCAAUUGCAUUGUCCAAUCCGUUUUGAAAUUGUGUAUUUUUCUCCAGUGAAACAAUUGACUGCAUUUAGAUAACGCAUUGAAAAAUCUGUCUCUCUCUUCACUUAUUUCUCCCUUAUUCCCACAUCCCUUCAUUCACUCAUUCAACAGGAAGUGUGUGUGCUAACCCUAUCUAUAUGUCUCUGUACUCUGGACUCUAUUAUAAAGGAGUCAGACCUUAGUGUCCUGAGAAGGCCUGCUGUCCCACUCCUGUAUCUCUCAUAGCCCCCAGAGCUACACACAUCUAAUGUAAACCAGGCUGUACUGUAGACAGAUCUGGAGUAAGGGGGAAUUGAGGGGGAGGUGGGAAGUUUCGGGCCUGAUAUAGACUCUAUGGUGGGAGAAUAAUGUUGUGCUGCCUGCCGUCAAAAUGUCUGUGGGAAUUGGCUACAUUGGGGGCUUGGAAGGAUGGGAGUCUACAUUCUCUCAUUGGAAAGAGAGUGGGCACAGGGGAUGGAGGAGUUUGGCUAUCUGUGAGGGUUAGGAAAGGUACCAGACAUACCUUGGGGUUUGAUAUUCGGAGUCUAAUUUUUGAUUGGAUAUACAUUUAGCGUCUUGAAUGGAUGUAACUGGCUAUCGAGGGAUGUCCUAUGCCUGUAGCUAGACCUAUUUACCCAAAAAGUAAACGAGAAAAUAACAAAAUAUCCAAUCAAAAUCGGCCUUCGUCUUUUUCGUUUUUUAAUGACCCCCCCCCAAAUUAAUCCACAAAAGAGGGAGAUGGGGGAUGGGGGGGUAGUGAGUUUGUGUGAAGCAGUAGGCUGCGUUAGCUUGGAUUAAAGACGAAAUGAGGCCCCUUUGGGUGUGUGUAUAUGUGUUUGUGUCUACCGUAUAUGUGUGUGUGUGUGUGUGUACAGUAUGUGUUUGUGUGUGUGUGUGCGCAUGUGUGUCUGUGUUACUAGGGCCCCGUAUGGGUCUGGUUUCCAUUUGGGGGCUCCCAGACAACGCCGCUGUUGCUUUCCACUGGAAAUGAUUAUUACAUUUUUUUUUUUUACCAAACAAAAUAAAUGUGAAUGUGGAAAAAUACUGACUGGCAACAACAAAUAAAGGUUGCUCAAGCGGAUGCUCAAUUAAAUAUUGCAUCAAAUAUUGGCCCGGGAUAUUGGUACACUCAUUCAACUACAGAGGCACCAAUAUUUUAGACAGGCCAAAUUCAAUAUCUGUCAAUUCAUUCUGUGCAAAAUAAACUACCGAACAGUUUUCUAUCCUACAAAUAGAUCAAAUUAAGGGACCAUUUGAUCUCUGUUUCAAUGGACAUAGUACCGGAGUCUAACUAAUUCAUUGUAGUUUAAAAGGAGCCCCUUAAGGACAAGGUUAUGUAGGGUAUUAGAGUAGGCCUGUAUUUUUAAGGAGCAAACCCUUGACAUAAGCUCACGAAGCAGUGUGGUUACUACUCCUCUGUCCCUGAUUGGCUAUACAUUGAACCUCCACGUUAGAGUCCUCUUCAUUGAUUGGUCCUCGAGGUGUUUGAACCGCAGUGUUCAUUCAGUGAUCAGUGAGUUAUAUUCACAUCAAACCCACCGACAGCAAUGAAUGUUUAUCGCAGCAAUCAGCUUAUGAAGGGAGGAGAGAGGAUCCAACUGGACAAAACAAGGAGAUAGGAAAUAUGUGCACUACCUUUCAAAAGUUUGGGGUCACUUAGAAAUGUCCUUGUUUUUGAAAGAAAAGCACCUGCAGUUGGUCCAGAACAGAGCAGCACAUAUUACACUUAGAUGUAGAUGGAGGGAAAAUGUCAGUCUCUCCUGGCUCAAGUUGAGGAAAGAUUGACUGCAUAACUAUUGUUCUUUGUGCAAGGUACUGAUGUUUUGAAGGUACCGAACUGUCUGUUCAAGCAGUUAGCACACAGUUCAGACACUCAUCGGUACAAG